AGCAGCCGCGGUAAUUCCAGCUCCAAUAGCGUAUAUUAAAGUUGUUGCAGUUAAAAAGCUCGUAGUUGAAUUUCGGGGUCAGUAGGUUGGUCGUGCCACCGGUACGUACUGGUCUCACUGAUUCCUCCUUCCUGAUGAGCUGUAAUGCCAUUAAUUUGGUGUUGCAGGGAAUCUGGACUGUUACUUUGAAAAAAUUGAGUGUUUAAAGCAGGCUAACGCUUGAAUACAUUAGCAUGGAAUAAUGAAAUAGGACGUUCGAUCCUUAUUUUGUUGGUUUCUAGGAUUGACGUAAUGAUUAAUAGGGAUAGUUGGGGGCAUUAGUAUUCAAUUGUCAGAGGUGAAAUUCUUGGAUUUAUUGAAGACUAACUACUGCGAAAGCAUUUGCCAA
rnacentral:rRNA from 1 species